GAAUUCCUUGUAAUAUCGAGUCAUUAACUCGAGAUGAAUACGUCCCUGCCCUUUGUACACACCGCCCGUCGCUCCUACCGAUUGAAUAAAGAGGUGAAAUUCUAGGAUUCUGUCUUAUAGAUAGAAAAAUGGAUUUAAAUCUCCUUAUUUAGAGGAAGGAGAAGUCGUAACAAGGUUUCCGUAGGUGAACCUGCGGAAGGAUCAUUAA
rnacentral:rRNA from 1 species